CCGUACGAUCACCGAAGUUAAGCAGCAUCGGGCGUGGUGCAAACUUGGAUGGGUGACCGUUUGAGAACGCCACGUGCUGUUGGCU
rnacentral:rRNA from 1 species